rnacentral:rRNA from 1 species
GACGAACGCUGGCGGCGUGCUUAACACAUGCAAGUCGAACGGAAAGGCCUCGUUCUUGGGGUGCUCGAGUGUCGAACGGGUGAGUAACACGUGAGUAACCUGCCCUUUACUUUGGGAUAACUUCUGAAAACUGUGGCUAAUACCGGGUAGGAGCUCCUGCUGCAUGGGGGGGGUUGGAAAGUUUCUGCGGUUGGGGGUGGGCUCGCGGCGUAUCUGAUUGUUUGUGGGGGAUUGGCUUAACCAGGGUUUGACGGGGAGCCGGGCUGAGAGGGGGACCGGCCACAUUGGGACUGAGAAACGGCCCAGAAUCCCACGGGAGGCAGCAGGUGGGGAUAAUGGACAAUGGGUGGAAGCCUGAUGCAGCAACGGCGUGGGCGGGAUGACGGCCCUUGGGUUGGAAACCGGUUUCGCUCAUGACGAAGCUUUGUGUGACGGUAGUGGGUAAAGAAGCACCGGCUAACUACGUG